AGCGUGGGCUCUGCCACUUGGAAGUAUGGCCUAACAGGCUAAAUGGGAAGAGGAAAGGGGGAAUUUUCCCCAGACUCUCUUUUAAAAUAUUAUUUCACAUUAUUCCAUCAUGCUUAUAGGAUACAAUUUCUGCCUACUCAUUUUCUCAUUUCCUUAGUAGUAAGUUUCAGUAAGCCUUACAUUAGAAGAGUUGCUUUUCUGUUCUAAUGACAUUGUAAGUUCACAAAAUAUAUCUUAGGUAAACAAAUGUUUGGCUUUUGUUAUUUAUUUAUUAGCUGAAUGAUCACCAUAUCAAAUAAACACAGCGAUGAUUUCUGCUGUGACACACCAUGCAUCAAAGACAGAAAAGACCAUAGAAAGGACAGGACAGAAACACUGUCAUAUUUAUAUCUACCAACUUGCAAGGCCAUUUGAGAAGCUCCAUUUGGACUCCAGUCUCUCAGUAGCUCACAGGAUUGACAUUUCUUAGUUGGCUGAAACUACAAAUUACGGCCUUGAACAGCAGGUGUUCGAAGUCCAGUUGCACAAUCACAGCAGUUGCCUGGCAUCUGAGAAUUCCUAAAGCCAUGCAGAAAGAAGGAUCCUGUUGCAGCAUCGUUCUUCCUGGCCAGUCGAGCGCGCGCAAGAAGUGGUGCCGAAAACCCGGGACAAGAAACAUCUUCAGGCACGAGCGAAGACCCCCUGCUACAGGGAGGAUUCAGAACUGCAUCACGGGGAAGGAGCAGUCAAUAAAGGUUCCCGUAAAACAGACUGCUGAGAAGGAUCUGGCGUGGAUUCAGAACUCUUCAGCUGGGGAACGGUGGUAAUGAAGUGUUCCUGCAAAACAGACUGCUGAGAAGGAUCCAGAGUGGAUUCAGAACUCUUCAGCUGAGGAACGGUGGUACCGGUAAGUAGAAAGAAAUUAAUAUGAGUGGCAUGCUCUCCUACGAAAUAGAUCUGAUAAUUGUUGCUGGGGUUGCUAUCUUUCUUGCCUUGAUCUUAUAUCAUGGCUUUAUUUGUCAACUCCCAAUAAGUAAAGAUACAAAAAAUAGU
rnacentral:lncRNA from 1 species